GAUGAACGCUGGCGGCGUGCCUAAUACAUGCAAGUCGAGCGAACAGAUGAGGAGCUUGCUCCUCUGACGUUAGCGGCGGACGGGUGAGUAACACGUGGAUAACCUACCUAUAAGACUGGGAUAACUUCGGGAAACCGGAGCUAAUACCGGAUAAUAUAUUGAACCGCAUGGUUCAAUAGUGAAAGACGGUUUUGCUGUCACUUAUAGAUGGAUCCGCGCCGCAUUAGCUAGUUGGUAAGGUAACGGCUUACCAAGGCAACGAUGCGUAGCCGACCUGAGAGGGUGAUCGGCCACACUGGAGCUGAGACACGGUCCAGACUCCUACGGGAGGCAGCAGUAGGGAAUCUUCCGCAAUGGGCGAAAGCCUGACGGAGCAACGCCGCGUGAGUGAUGAAGGUCUUCGGAUCGUAAAACUCGGUUAUUAGGGAAGAACAAAUGUGUAAGUAACUAUGCACGUCUUGACGGUACCUAAUCAGAAAGCCACGGCUAACUACGUG
rnacentral:rRNA from 1 species